rnacentral:rRNA from 1 species
UACAGAGGGUGCGAGCGUUAAUCGGAAUUACUGGGCGUAAAGCGUGCGUAGACGGCUAUCUAAGUCGGGUGUGAAAGCCCCGGGCUCAACCUGGGAAUUGCAUUCGAGACUGAAUAGCUAGGGUACGGUAGAGGGAAGCGGAAUUUCCGGUGUAGCGGUGAAAUGCGUAGAUAUCUGGAGGAAUACCGGUGGCGAAGGCGGCAUCCUGGACCAUUACUGACGCUGAGGCGCGAAAGCUAGGGGAGCAAACGGG